CCUACGGGAGGCAGCAGUGAGGAAUAUUGGUCAAUGGACGAGAGUCUGAACCAGCCAAGUAGCGUGAAGGAUGACUGCCCUAUGGGUUGUAAACUUCUUUUAUAUGGGAAUAAAACGUUCCACGUGUGGGAUUUUGUAUGUACCAUAGGAAUAAGGAACGGCUAACUCCGUGCCAGCAGCCGCGGUAAUACGGAGGAUCCGAGCGUUAUCCGGAUUUAUUGGGUUUAAAGGGAGCGUAUGUGGAUUGUUAAGUCAGUUGUGAAAGUUUGCGGCUCAACCGUAGAAUUGCAGUUGAAACUGGCAGUCUUGAGUACCGUAGAGGUAGGCGGAAUUCGUGGUGUAGCGGUGAAAUGCUUAGAUAUCACGAAGAACUCCGAUUGCGAAGGCAGUUCACUGGACUGCAACUGACACUGAGGCUCGAAAGUGUGGGUAUCAAACAGGAUUAGAUACCCCUGUAGUC
rnacentral:rRNA from 1 species